GCUAGCGGCAGGCCGAACACAUGCAAGUCGAGGGGCAUCACGGAUUGCUUGCAAUCUGAUGACGACCGGCGCACGGGUGCGUAACGCGUAUACAACCUACCUUUUAGCGGGGAAUAGCCCAGGGAAACUUGGAUUAAUGCCCCAUAGUAUAUAGACUUCUCCUGAAGUUUAUAUUAAACAUUUAUGGCUAUUAGAUGAGUCUGCGUCGGAUUAGCUUGUUGGUGAGGUAAUGGCUCACCAAGGCGACGAUCCGUAGCUGGUCUGAGAGGAUGACCAGCCACACUGGAACUGAGACACGGUCCAGACUCCUACGGGAGGCAGCAGUGGGGAAUAUUGCACAAUGGGCGAGAGCCUGAUCCAGCCAUGCCGCGUGCAGGAAGACUGCCCUAUGGGUUGUAAACUGCUUUUACAGAGGAAGAACCACCCCCACGUGUGGGGGUUUGACGGUACUCUGCGAAUAAGGAUCGGCUAACUACGUG
rnacentral:rRNA from 1 species